rnacentral:rRNA from 1 species
UAGGGAAUCUUCCGCAAUGGACGAAAGUCUGACGGAGCAACGCCGCGUGAGUGAAGAAGGAUUUCGGUUCGUAAAACUCUGUUGUCAGGGAAGAAAAAAUGUAUAGUAACUAUAUACAAAAGAGACGGUACCUAACCAGAAAGCCACGGCUAACUACGUGCCAGCAGCCGCGGUAAUACGUAGGUGGCAAGCGUUGUCCGGAAUUAUUGGGCGUAAAGCGCGCGCAGGUGGUUUAGAAAGUCUGAUGUGAAAGCCCACGGCUCAACCGUGGAGGGUCAUUGGAAACUAAUAAACUUGAGUGCAGGAGAGAAAAGUGGAAUUCCUAGUGUAGCGGUGAAAUGCGUAGAGAUUAGGAGGAACACCGGUGGCGAAAGCGGCUUUUUGGCCUGCAACUGACACUGAGACGCGAAAGCGUGGGGAGCAAACGGG